rnacentral:rRNA from 1 species
UGCAUAUCAAUAAGCGGAGGAAAAGAAACUAACAAGGAUUCCCCUAGUAACGGCGAGUGAAGCGGGAUGAGCUCAAAUUUAAAAUCUGGCUGGUUUACUAGUCCGAAUUGUAGUUUAUAGAAGCGUUUUCGGUGGCAGCCUGGGUAUAAAUCCUUUGGAAUAGGGUAUCAUAGAGGGUGAGAAUCCCGUCUUUGACUCAGUGCAUGCUACUAUGUGAUACGUUUUCAAAGAGUCGAGUUGUUUGGGAAUGCAGCUCAAAAUGGGUGGUAAAUUUCAUCUAAGGCUAAAUAUUGGCGAGAGACCGAUAGCGAACAAGUACCGUGAGGGAAAGAUGAAAAGAACUUUGAAAAGAGAGUUAAACAGUGCGUGAAAUUGUUGAAAGGGAAACGUUUGACACCAGUUAUGCGGGUGGAAAAUCAGUCUUUUGCAAUGGGGAGUUGUGGGCGUUCAGACCGCAAGGCUGGCGUUUGUUUCAUCUUUGUUGUAAGUGAUGCACUUUUUCAUCUGCAGGUCAACAUCAGUUUGCUUUGCUGGACAAAACCCCAAGGGAAGGUGGCAGCUUAGGCUGUGUUAUAGCCCUGGGGCGAUACAGUGGAGUGGACUGAGGUUUCGCAGUGUGUGCUCUCGGGCAAGGCUGACUGGGUGCUAUGGGAUCGUUCGGCGUACAAUGCAUGCAUUUUGCGUCGUGUCUUUUUCAUACUCGCUCAACUCGGCUCUUCCACGCUUAGGAUGUUGACUUAAUGGUUUUAAACGACCCGUCUUGAAACACGGACCAAGGAGUCUAACAUAUAUGCAAGUGUUUGGGUGGCAAACCCAUGCGCGUAAUGAAAGUGAACGUAGGUGCGAUCCGCAAGGUGCAGCAUCGACCGAUCUUGAUAUUUUUGGAUAGAUUUGAGUAAGAGCAUAUAUGCUGGGACCCGAAAGAUGGUGAACUAUGCCUGAAUAGGGUGAAGCCAGAGGAAACUCUGGUGGAGGCUCGUAGCGAUUCUGACGUGCAAAUCGAUCGUCAAAUUUGGGUAUAGGGGCGAAAGACUAAUCGAACCAUCUAGUAGCUGGUCUGCGA